rnacentral:rRNA from 1 species
CCUACGGGAGGCAGCAGUAGGGAAUCUUUCACAAUGGGCGAAAGCCUGAUGGAGCAACGCCGCGUGCAGGAUGAAGGCCUUCGGGUUGUAAACUGCUUUUAUAAGCGAGAAAUAUGAUGGUAACUUAUGAAUAAGGAUCGGCUAACUACGUGCCAGCAGCCGCGGUCAUACGUAGGAUCCGAGCAUUAUCCGGAGUGACUGGGUGUAAAGAGUUGCGUAGGUGGCAUAAUAAGUAGCUAGUGAAAUCUGGUGGCUCAACCAUUCAGACUAUUAGCUAAACUGUUAGGCUCGAGACCGUUAGGGGUAACUGGAAUGUCUAGUGUAGGAGUGAAAUCCGUAGAUAUUAGAAGGAACACCAAUAGCGAAGGCAGGUUACUGGGACGGUUCUGACACUAAGGCACGAAAGCGUAGGGAGCGAACGGGAUUAGAUACCCGUGUAGUC